AGAGCUGUGAUACUGACAACGAUUGCGAGUUUCCUUUACUCGAGUGUCCCAGCGGAUGGUGCCGUAAAAAGCGGUGUUUCAACGAUAGUGAGUGUGGGCUUGCCAACUCUGAAUGCUAUAACAACUAUUGCGACUGCAAAGACGGUUAUUUAAAAGAAGGACUUUUCUGUAAACCAGCAUUAGGAAGAAGUUGUUCACAGCGAUGGGACAGAAGUUGCAGUUUUCAAGGCGAAGAAAUCAACGGUUAUUACCAAAAGGCUUACCAGUGCAAAAGUAGCCAGUGCAGUUGUAAUUCCAAAUAUUUAAGACGAGAUGGAGACUUAUGUG